GAUGAACGCUAGCUACAGGCUUAACACAUGCAAGUCGAGGGGCAGCAUGGUCUUAGCUUGCUAAGGCCGAUGGCGACCGGCGCACGGGUGAGUAACACGUAUCCAACCUGCCGUCUACUCUUGGACAGCCUUCUGAAAGGAAGAUUAAUACAAGAUGGCAUCAUGAGUUCACAUGUUCACAUGAUUAAAGGUAUUCCGGUAGACGAUGGGGAUGCGUUCCAUUAGAUAGUAGGCGGGGUAACGGCCCACCUAGUCUUCGAUGGAUAGGGGUUCUGAGAGGAAGGUCCCCCACAUUGGAACUGAGACACGGUCCAAACUCCUACGGGAGGCAGCAGUGAGGAAUAUUGGUCAAUGGGCGCAGGCCUGAACCAGCCAAGUAGCGUGAAGGAUGACUGCCCUAUGGGUUGUAAACUUCUUUUAUAAAGGAAUAAAGUCGGGUAUGUAUACCCGUUUGCAUGUACUUUAUGAAUAAGGAUCGGCUAACUCCGUGCCAGCAGCCGCGGUAAUACGGAGGAUCCGAGCGUUAUCCGGAUUUAUUGGGUUUAAAGGGAGCGUAGAUGGAUGUUUAAGUCAGUUGUGAAAGUUUGCGGCUCAACCGUAAAAUUGCAGUUGAUACUGGAUAUCUUGAGUGCAGUUGAGGCAGGCGGAAUUCGUGGUGUAGCGGUGAAAUGCUUAGAUAUCACGAAGAACUCCGAUUGCGAAGGCAGCCUGCUAAGCUGCAACUGACAUUGAGGCUCGAAAGUGUGGGUAUCAAACAGGAUUAGAUACCCUGGUAGUCCACACGGUCA
rnacentral:rRNA from 1 species